UUAAGAACAUAAUGCCCACAUUCCCAAGAGGUGAGACAUAUCUGCUCCUGGAAGUAUCAAUCUACUUCAGAGAAGAUGAUGGGCAUUGAAGAAACUCCAUAUGGAGUUUAUUUUCUUUGUGGAAAAAGUAAGUCACUGGACAAGAAAGUGCCCUUAUAUCGACUGCUGACAGUGUACUGUCCAAACGGACAAGCAGGACACAAAAGAAAGACCGCUGAACCUUGCUAAGAUAAGAUCUCAAGACAUGGACUCUGACUCAGAUCUGGCCAUUACCUGAAGCUGUGAGUUCAUAGCCUGGCUUAGGACAGCCAUCAGUCAGAAAUACUGCAGCAGUACAAGGGAUGCUACUCAUGCAGAAUUUCAGCACAACUUAAACCCAUCCAUUACUGAUAACUGCUAAGAAAUAUUUAGUGCCAUGGGGCUUAUAGCACAAUCUUCUGACAGAACAGGUUCUGAUAAUUUCCAAAAUUCUUAUGAUAAGUACAUUUAUACUUGUGCGGAACUUUUUUGCCCCCAGAUAUUUUUCCAAACCACAGCAAAUUAUGUUUGUAAGUCCAUUUAAAGUCUAGUUAACUAGUAUUUGAUUAGCUCUGCAUAGAUGACUAAUACCACUCUGAAUGCUUCUGAGUUAUCUUCUACAACCAUUAAUAUAGACUGAAUCAAGUGCUAUUUUAAUCUUUUUUGGCUUGUAUUAUUCUAUGUUCAUUAUAGGUUAACAGUGUCAGGUUUAGAUUUGUUGUAAAAUUCCAUAUCUGUGUGUGGAAAGCAAAUAUGAUGCCAUUUACUACAUAACUUUGUUUCAUUUUAAUAAAUAUUCUCUCUCUCUUUUUUGAGAAUUCUAUCCAUGAGCCCUAUGUUAACAUCAUUUCCAUCCCUCUCUCUCUCCACCUCCAACUCCCACUGAGUUUCCAUACCAUGCCUUCUCAGAUUCUCAAAUUCAUGACUUCUCCUAUAAUUAUUAUUGUUACACACACACACACACACACACACACACACACACACACACACACACAGAGUACUCAGUCCUUUGUGUUGCUUGUAUAUCUGUGUGUUUACAGCUAAUCACAUGGAAUUAGAUAACCUGCCAAAGAGAAUCCAUCCCUAUAGAAAACCAGUUCUCCCAUUCUUAGCAGCAUUGAUAGCCUUCAUCUAAGAGUGCCUUGUUAAAUUUUCUGCAUCCACAUUGCAUAUUGCUUUUCUUUAUCUAUAAUGCUCCCUUUCUCACAGAGUUUUUGUUUGUUUGUUUGUUUGUUAUUUGUUUUUUGGGUUUUUUUGUCAUUCUUAACAAUCAAACUCAAUGUCAUGCUAUUUCCUAGAAUUCUUGCCUAACUGCUCAGAUAAAACCAAACUACCGCCUAUGCUAAUUUAGAAGAUAUAUAUGGAAAGAGGAAAAUAGAGACAAACAUAUUAAAUCAAUUCUUCUCACCUAUCAUUAUAUGCAGUAGACUCUGUCUUCAAAAUAUGACUAAAAUUUUUGACGAAUCUAUCAUAUUGCAUCUUUAUGCAACAGUGGUCUAGACACCUUCCUUUUCAAGGAUUUUUGGAGCAGAAAUUAACUGUUCUCUCUUCAUCUUCUCUUCUCUUUGUGUAUUCUAUCCUUUACCUAUUAGGUUUCUGUCAUACCAAGCAAGAUCAUCAUGAUUGUUACUCAACUUGCCAUAACUUAGAAUCAUCUGAGAAGAGAGUGUCAAGUGAUAGUCUUUAUCGGGUUGAUUUGUAGACAUGUCUGUGGGUGAUUUUCUUGUUUGUUAAUUCAUGUGAGAAGUCCAACCCUUUCAUGUGUAUAACUAUUCCCUAGGCAAAUGAUCUUUCAAUAUAUAGGAUUGAAGAAAUAUAAAAGCAAGCAGACAUCA